rnacentral:rRNA from 1 species
GAUGAACGCUGGCGGCGUGCCUAACACAUGCAAGUCGAACGAACAGACGAGGAGCUUGCUCGUCUGACGUUAGCGGCGGGCGGGAGAGUAACACGUGUAUAACCUACCUAUCUGACUGGGAUAACUACGGGAAACCGGAGCUAAUACCGUAUAAGAUAUUGAACCGCGUGGUGCAAUAGUGAAAGUCGGUUGUUGGGUCUGUUAUAGCUGGAUCACGGCCGCAUUAGGUGGUUGGUACGGUAAUGGCUUACCAAGGCAAGGAGGGGUAGCCGACCUCAGAGGGUGGUAGCCCACCUGGGAACUGAGCCGCGCCCCCGACUCCUGCGGUAGGCCGCAGUCGGGACUCUUACGCAAUGGGCGAGAGCCUGACGGAGCAACGCCGCGUGAGUUAUGAAGGUCUUCGGAUCGUAAAGCUCUGUUAUUAGUGGAGAACAAAUGUGUAAUUACCCGUGCACGUAUUGACGGUACCGAGUCAGAAAGCCCCGGCUAACUACGUG